AUGGCGCCUUCCAGUAUCCUGGGAGGCAUGCCUGUCCGAGCGUCGUUUCAACCCUCGAGCCCCCGUGGCCCGGCGUUGGGGAUCUGCCACGGCAGGCCCCUAAAACCAGUGGCGGACCCGAAGGCCCUCUCCUUUGCGCAGUAG
rnacentral:rRNA from 1 species